rnacentral:rRNA from 1 species
GUACCUGAAAAUAGAAGAGAGCGAGCGGGAUCCAGAGUACCACGAGACACGAGAAACCUUGUGGGAAGGAGCGGGGACCACCCCGUAAGGCUAAAUACUACUUAGUGACCGAUAGCGCAUAGUACUGUGAAGGAAAGGUGAAAAGGACCCCGGGAGGGGAGUGAAAGAGAACCUGAAACCCUGUGUUUACAAGCUGUGGAACCAUUAUAAAGUGGAACCGCGUACUUUUUGUAGAACGGUCCGGCGAGUUACGUCGGCUGGCGAGGUUAAGGACUGAAAGGUCCGGAGCCGAAGGGAAACCAAGUCUUAAUAGGGCGCCAAGUCAGCCGGAGUAGACCCGAAACCGGGUGAUCUAUCCAUGUCCAGGUUGAAGUUGCCGUAAGAGGCAAUGGAGGACCGAACCCACAUCCGUUGAAAAGGGUGGCGAUGAGGUGUGGAUAGGGGAGAAAUUCCAAUCGAACCCGGAGAUAGCUGGUUCUCCUCGAAAUAGCUUUAGGGCUAGCCUCAUAUUAGUCUAACGGAGGUAGAGCACUGAAUUUCCUAGGGGGCGUCAAAGCUUACCGAAGAAUAUCAAACUCCGAAUGCCGAUA